AGCUCCUUAAGGUGCUUGAGGGAGCAUCAGAAAGACACUCUUCUGAUGCUGCGUAUGUAGCUGGAGUUAACUGCCUAGCCCAUAAGUGUUACACACUCCAUAAAGAAGGAGCUUUUUAACUUCAGAUUUUGUCACUGGUUUUUGGGCUGACGAGAUGGAUGUAGCAACAGCAACACAAUUUCUCUCAGCAGUGAAGGGACAGCUUGAGAAUAAUCCUCUAGCAUCAAACAUUGGCUUUGCACUGAUCCUUCUCUGCUUUGAGAAAAUUGUAGAGUUGGAGUUUGUUUGUCCCUGUCAGUCGAAACUGAAUGCUGUCUCUGCGUUAUCAUUUUUCUUAGCUCCAGCAUUGAUUGUCUUUAUGCUCAUGCUUAAAACUGAAAGUCCGUGUAAAUCAUGUGUACAAAAUGUCCUUGGUGGUGUAGUUCCUGCUGUAACAUGGUGUAUAAUACUGUUAAUAGAUGGACGUUAUUAUUCCUGUUUUUGGACCAACUGGUCAGGAUACUAUGAACUUAGUGAGAGUGAGACUGCUUCCCCUCUGAAAUGGUGUAAACCAUUUAAUUUAUCUCAUGGAGAAGAGAUCCAGACUCUGGAGUGGUACUCCAAGUCACAGGUCAUUGGACUCUGGGUUGCAUUUGGUCUCACUCUAGUUUUUAAGCUCUAUUUGCUCUGUAUGUCCUUCUGCUGCAAACAUCAAGAAAGAACAGACAAUGUAGAUCCCUCUGAAGACAUCCCUCUAGAGGUGCAGAACAGAGAAUGACAGAAAUUAAGAAAACAAUCACAUUUCAGGGGAGGUUGGACUACCAAUUUGAACAGUCAGACAUAAUGCAGAAAAUCUAGAGUAACGUUAAAAUAUCUUCCAGUUGAAGGCAAACAAUUGUUUAAGUGCUAUGGCGGAUAAUAAAACAUUUGUAAGAUAUACUAAAUUUACUUCUAGUUAUAACAAAACAAUGUCUUUACUUUCAAAAUGUUAUGUUAAAUGGUUUGUUAGAAUAUUAAUGCAUGAUAUUUCUUGUUUAGAUCAUUUAUUGUAUUAUACAUUCUAACUGUUAUUUUUUGUUUCUUAAACAUAUUUACAUUAUAUUCUGUAUAAUUUUGAAAUCAUCAUAUUCAAGUCAAAGGUGUUAUUUCCCUGUUACAGAGACUCUUUUCCGUGUGUCUAGCUUGAUGCGUUGGGUGUGGCUUCGUGUUGAACCUGAGCAUACAGCUAAACAAGUCUACUUAUUCAUAUUCUCCAUUGUUUUGGGAAAGAUUGAAAUUUAUUCAUGUUUAUUUCGUUAUUUUCAUUUUCCAAGUUGUAUAACACCAGUGUAACAGAGAGGAAGGUGUGUAUGUAUGUAUAUGUGAAUUUUGCCCAUAAUAAUAAUAAUAAUAGUGUGUAUGUGUUUGUAAUGAGAUUUUUGAACCAUGUGUUUGGAGCCACCUAGUGGUGUGAUGAGUGACUGCAAUGGGUCCUCCUGGCGCUCUCUCGGCUUCCCCGCCAGGAUCCUGAGGAACUGCUGGUGGAGGUGCAAGAGAGGCAGCUCUUCGCUAUUUCUUUUAGGGUCAUAUUUUUCUAGUUCAACAAUUAACGAAAUACUGUAAGAUUAUUUAACAAUUGUAAAUAUCAUUUAUAAAGUUUUCUCGUGGUUGGGCUGGAAAAAUGUGACCCUAUGAGUGGGAGCUGCGCCAGUUGGUGUUUGUGGCUGACUGCUCGGUCACGACGCUAACUGUGUCUUUUGUUUUUCAGCUGUUGGACCACUUGCAUGCAGUCAGUCACAUUGUGAGAAUUUCAUUUUAUAUCGCACUAGGUGGGUUCAAAGUAUAAAGUUAUGAAUAUAUAUAUAUAUAUAUUUAGAAAAAAAAUGUUUUGUGAAUGUAACUGUUAACUGCUCUGGCAGCUGUCUGUUAUUUUACUGUUUGAUUCAUGGAAUGAGAAUGUUUUGUUUUGAGGAAUUGUUAACUGUUUUAUUGUUUAAACUAUAUGAUCACAUCUAAAAAAGAGAAAAAUGAAGAAUUCUGAGGAAUGCUAUUGGACCACUUGCGUGCAGUCACAUUGUGAGAGUUUUAUUUUAUAUCACACUAGGUGCGAUAUAAAAUAGCAAGCAAGGCUACACUGGUGCUGUGACAAGCGAGAAGGGUUACACCAGCUUUAGAUAACCUUCGCCUUCACUCUCACUUUUCUAAAUGAAAUUCAUUGCAACAAAUUGCUCUUUCUAAAUUAAUUAAAAUAAGAGUCUACCUA